UACGUAGGGUGCAAGCGUUGUCCGGAAUUAUUGGGCGUAAAGAGCUCGUAGGCGGUUUGUCGCGUCUGCUGUGAAAACCCGAGGCUCAACCUCGGGCCUGCAGUGGGUACGGGCAGACUAGAGUGCGGUAGGGGAGAUUGGAAUUCCUGGUGUAGCGGUGAAAUGCGCAGAUAUCGGGAGGAACACCGGUGGCGAAGGCGGUUCUCUGGGCCUUACCUGACGCUGAGGAGCGAAAGCGUGGGGAGCGAACAGG
rnacentral:rRNA from 1 species